AGGCUGGGAAAAUCGAGGGGAGCUUGAAGCUUCGGUCGGAGUUGGACUUUGAACCCUCUCCGAUCGUGAGCUUUGUCAAGUGGGACUUUCCAGCACCGUUUUUGAGGGAUUUUACGAGCACGAGAUCUCGAAACCUCGUAGAUACAGUUGCUUCUAUCACUCCAAAUUGCAUUGCAAGACUUCAACUUGAGCAGGUUGACAUUUGAGUGGGGCUGAUAAACAAACCAAGCUAUUCGAGUUCAAGUUCCAGCUCAGUAAAUAGAGCUGAACUGAGCUGGAUGGAUUGUGCUCUUAAGUGUGUUGCGUUGCUGGUGCUCCUCGGAUGUGGUUUUUCAAAAAUAAGUGCCUCUCUCGUCAAAAAUGACUAGGAGCAUUGCAAGAAUACCGUCAACAAGUGGGCUUCUUCUUCCCCUGAUUUAGAAGUCAAAGAAGGAAAACAUAGACUACGGGAUUUGCUAUUUUUCCUUCAUGUUCUGAGAACAGUUUCUUGAGAAAGUUGUAUUCGAGCUCUUUGGAAUGUCCCCGUUCAUAUGAUAAGUUGUGGUUUGAUCCGAGGUAAGAACUCUUCAAUUGUGUUUUACUGUAGUGCAGGACAUUUUUGUUGGCACGUCAUAGUGUCCCACUUCAUUUUGUAUUUUUGUUUCCCAUGGGACAAAUAAAUAUUAGCGAUCACCCAUGAAUCCAGUCGGGACAGAGAAUUUCUUUUGGGACAGAGAAU